ACUCCUGGUGUGGCCCUCCAGGGGGGCAAUGAGCUUGAACACAGGUGGCAGCACGAAGUUGACCCCGGAGAUGAAGAUGGACGGAAGGCCUUUGCAGUCACAGCCUACGCUGUCUGAAGUGCCUGAAUCUUGGGUGUUCACUUGGCUGCCUCCCUGCCACCUUUCCAGCCUAGAGGUCACCUCCUCAGAGAGUCCUUUACUGGCCAUUCCACGUAAGGAUGGUCCCCACGCGUUAUUCUGUAUCAAAGAGGGCCAGCAAACUAUGGCCCUGAGACCAAGUGUUGUUUUUUGUAAAUAAAGUUUUACUGGCACACA